AGCUCAGUGGUAUUAUUGUGUUGAUGACCAAGACUCCACAGUUCAACUCAGAAUGAGGCGCCCUGCUCAGCUCUUCUGGCUGCUAAUGCUCUGGAUCCCUGGAUCCAGUGGAGACGUUGUGUUGACACAGACUCCAACCUCCUUGCUUGUUGUUCCUGGAGAAUCAGCGUCUAUCUCUUGCAGGUCUAGUCGGAGCCUCUUACAUAGUAAUGGAAACACGUAUUUGAGUUGGUUCAUACAGAAGCCAGGCCAGUCUCCACGGCACCUGAUCUAUAUAAUUUCUAAUCGGAAUUCUGGGGUCCCAGACAGGUUCAGCGGCACUGGGUCAGGGACAGAUUUCACUCUCAAAAUCAGCAGAGUAGAGCCUGAAGACUUUGGCGUUUAUUACUGUUAUCAAGGUACACAUGAUCCUCCCACAGUGGUACAGCCCUUAACAGAAACUCCCCUGCUUGGUGUGGCCCAGCUGCCCUCCUGUGUGGCUUGUCUGGGGAGCAGCACAGCAGGUUCUCUGAGCCUGUGCAGGAGGCAGAGUUUCUAUGACUCAGUGGAGCAUGUUACAGAGGCGGCAUCUGCUCAAGCAUCUUUUUUACUCCACUCUGGGGCCACCAUAAUGUGA